rnacentral:lncRNA from 1 species
GAUGCAAAAUCUUGAUUUCUCUCCAGUUUCAUACAUUUUCUUGGCAACAAAUGGAGCGUUACUGAAGUGGCGUGGUUAAGGAGAUAGAGAAAGAUCCUCGAAUAUGUAUCAAAAAGGUUUGGUAUUGAACCCUGAAUACAUGAUGAAGCACGCCACUGAAUCCAAUAGGUGUGAUUCAUGAAACAUAGGUGUAGACCCCCAUUUUGGGGCACUUUCUUUCUCACCUUUCAUGCAGGUUAUUUGGCUAGGUGGCACAAUCUCGAGAGACCACGUGGCGUCUUUGGAGAGGCUGACAGAGAAUUAGUGCUUUGAGGAGCUAUCAGAAUUCGACACCUGUAAAGGGGAUUUGGAAAGCUGCAUACUGUAGGGGUAGGGGACCCCCAGCUGAGAGCAGAAGGUCGUCUGCAUGAGGCGUGCAGCUGAAGGGGGUGGUUGAAAAAGCCAUGUUGGCUGACCAGUGAAUAGGACAGAAGAGUGACUUGCGGAAUGGGGAAUAGGGAGGAUGUGGUGAGACGUCGGGGGGAAAAGGAGGUCCUGAUCGGGACAUCUUCCAAGAGAGGUCAUAAAAACAGGGCUCGAAGUCAGGUGAGCUAGGAUCUGCGAGGAAGCUUUUCAGGUAUGGACCCUGUUCAUUACCUUCUCUAUUUUGUUUUUGGAUGUUGAUAAGAUUCUAUUUUGGUGUUUGGAUGCGAGCAUUGAAGAUUUUAUUAUGUUCUUAUGGAAUCUGAGUUCGUUUGCCUCCAUGUUGUGCUUGAUUUCUAACUCGGCUUUCAACUUGUUUACAUCGACUAUUUUAAACUACUCUCCUUUGUUUCUUGAUUGUUUGUGGAUUAUCCUUGAUGCCUGGAGUAUACUUACUCAUUCUCUCUGUUCUGGAAAAUUUUGAGAGAAGAUUCAUCACAUGCUUUUGAUUUGUGGGGUCAUGCCUGCAUUUCUUUCUAUUUAUUUAUUUAUUUAUCAUUCCACCCGGGGAAGAUUUAUGUCCGGUCGGCGUCCCACCUUCUCCGGAUGUCUCACAUCCGAAUUCUGUCUGCCGACAUCCCACUUUCUCCGGAUGUCUCACAUCUGGAAUUCUGUUCGACCGACAUCCCACCUUCUCCGGAUGUCUCACAUCCGGAAUUCUGUCCGGCCGACGUUCCACCUUCUCCGGAUAUUUCACAUCCGACACCUGACGUAGGAUGGGAGAGGAGGGCGAUUCAACUUCCCCGGUCAGACAUGUCCGGAUCCUCUGAUAGCGCUUACUCGGAGAGCAUUCGUAGCCAACAAUUCAGAUUCCCCAAACAGCUUGGCUCGUCAGACACUUGCGAUUCGCCGGAUCCAUUUCCGCCCACAAUCUUCUGCUCCUCUUGAUUUUAAUAGGCAUGAAUGUUUUUUUUUUCAUAAUUCCGGAAUAAUGGAAUCUAUGAUAUUAAUUCAUGCAAAAUAAAUGGGUUUUGGUGGGAGCCCGACAUAUGUGAUUUUAUAAUUGAUUGAUUGAUUGAUUGAUUUAGUUGUCAUGCAUGAUUGUUUCUAUCCUGCCCUAUGACAUGCUUGAAAUUAUUAUUUAAUUAUGCACUAACCCCAUUUUGUGAUAGUGCGUUGUCGUUUGCUAAUCAGGUACGUAUCCGCUUCCACUUUGAUUAUUCUCUAUGCAUAUUUUGAUACUCAUGUGUGCAUGAUUGAUUCGAGUAUUCAUUGUUUUCCUCAUCAUUGCCAUAAUUGCUUCACUUUAUUAGUAGAGACCCGACUUUAGGGGCUUAGAGGGGUGCUACGGUUUUUACCGUACCUUCCCGAUAAGUAACCUGACCCCCGAACCUGAUCCGGUUCUUCACAGACCACCUUUUCCAAAAUAAGGAGUCACACUUAGGGUUUUCUUUUUUAUUUUGUUUGCCCUUUAAAAAUAAAACAAAAAUAAGUGGUGACUCCAAUUCAUUUUUCUUAAUCAAUAAAAUUAAUUUUUCAAAAUAAAAAUCGAGCUCGCCAUCGAGUGGGAAACACAUGAGCCGAAAUACGGGGUCCACAAUAGUCACAUUCUAUAUUUUUAUCAUGAGUAGCCAAUUUCCUCACCAACACUUUUGUUUUAGUUUUAUCCCUUUUUAAAUUUCUAUGUUCUAUGUUCCCUCUGACCACAAAAAAUCAUAGAUAGACUCUAAAUGUUUUAUGAAAUAUGCAACCCAUGUGCAGCAUGCACAAUGUGAUUUUGUGAUUUGUGUAUUUUCCCCUAUUAGAUGCUCUUGUCCUCUAGUAAACAAUUUGAUAGCUUCCAAAAUAUCCUCAUAGAGAUAGCUUUGAUUUUAGUGCAUCCUUUUCCCACAGAGAUGCUCUUUGUGCAUGAUAUAUGAUUUUGCCAUGGGCCAGGGAAAAGCUUGAUCAAUCACAACUAGGGGGACAAAAAAUACCCCAGCAUAUUUGCUAAUGAAGGUGUUGGACAGCUUAAGACUUCCUUGGCAAUAUCAUGUAACAUCCAUGUGCUGCUUGUAGGCAGAAAUAAAUGUAUUAAAUAAUGGUAGUUAUCACCUAUGAGCAUGGGCAUCAAGAACAUCCCAUCCUGUGAAACAGACACUUCAUCCAUUUGGUUUUUGAACUCUUCAAGAUGGGAGAUUCCUGCAGUUUAUCUAGUUUGAGAGGUUCUAGUUUAGGAUAAAGGUAAUUAAACAACUUAGAACUUGAAUUAUCACAGAUUUCUUUGAUCCUCUGCUGAAAAGCUAUGGCAAGGCUUUGUGAGGAAGACCCCUGUUGACACAUGGAGACAAUGAAGAAGACUACUCAUUCUAUGAAGCCAGGUCUAAUUUUUUCGAUCGAUUUCAACUUGCUUGGAGAAGAAACUAUGAAAUUGGGGCUUCUGUUCAUAAGCAUCCUAAUGGGCAAUGCUUGAAAGGAAUGGUUGUUACAUUCUCAUGUUUUCUUCCAAGGUGAAAUCAAUAAAAAUUUAGAAGCAUAUUGUGUUGAGGUUUUGAGUGAUCUGUUAAAGCUGUAUGCUAGCCAAACAAACAUUUGUUCUGUCUUUGUUUCCUUUUAACUACAUAGAGAAUGUUGUCAUCAAUGAAACAAC